rnacentral:rRNA from 1 species
AGUGAACGCUGGCGGUAGGCCUAACACAUGCAAGUCGAACGGCCGCACAGUAAGCGCUUGCCCUUACGGGUGGCGAGUGGCGGACGGGUGAGGCAUACAUCGGAAUCUAAUUUUUCGUGGGGGAUAACGUAGGGCAACUUACGCUAAUACCGCAUACGACCUACGGGUGAAAGCAGGGGAUCUUCGGACCUUGCGCGAUUCAAUGAGCCGAUGUCGGAUUAGAUAGUUGGCGGGGUAAAGGCCCACCAAGGCGACGCUACGAAGCUGGUCUGAGCGGAUGAUCAGCCACACUGGAACUUGGACACGGGCCAGACUCCUACGGGAGGCAACAGUGGGGAAUAUUGGACAAUGGGCGCAAACCUUAUCCAGCCAUACCGCGUGGGUGAAGAAGGCUUUCGGGUUGGAAAGCCCUUUUGUUGGGAAAGAAAAGCAGCAGGUUAAUACCCCGCUGUUCUGACGGUACCCAAAGAAUAAGCACCGGCUAACUUCGUG